rnacentral:rRNA from 1 species
UACGUAGGGUGCAAGCGUUGUCCGGAAUUAUUGGGCGUAAAGAGCUCGUAGGCGGUUUGUCGCGUCUGCUGUGAAAACUCGGGGCUUAACCCCGGGCCUGCAGUGGGUACGGGCAGACUAGAGUGCGGUAGGGGAGACUGGAAUUCCUGGUGUAGCGGUGAAAUGCGCAGAUAUCAGGAGGAACCCCGGUGGCGAAGGCGGGUCUCUGGGCAGUAACUGACGCUGAGGAGCGAAAGCGUGGGGAGCGAACAGG